AGAGGCGAUGAAGGACGUGCUAAUCUGCGAUAAGCGUCGGUAAGGUGAUAUGAACCGUUAUAACCGGCGAUUUCCGAAUGGGGAAACCCAGUGUGAUUCGUCACACUAUCAUUAACUGAAUCCAUAGGUUAAUGAGGCGAACCGGGGGAACUGAAACAUCUAAGUACCCCGAGGAAAAGAAAUCAACCGAGAUUCCCCCAGUAGCGGCGAGCGAACGGGGAGCAGCCCAGAGCCUGAAUCAGUGUGUGUGUUAGUGGAAGCGUCUGGAAAGGCGCGCGAUACAGGGUGACAGCCCCGUACACAAAAAUGCACAUACUGUG
rnacentral:rRNA from 1 species